rnacentral:tRNA from 1 species
AAGACAUUAGUAAAACAGGUUAAUACACUGCUUUGUCAAGGCGGAAUUGUGGGUUAAAAUCCCACAUGUCUUA